rnacentral:lncRNA from 1 species
CUGGGACCUAGCUCGGGACCGGCCUGGAGAUGGAGUUCGACUGCGAGGGCCUGAGACGGCUGCUUGGCAAGAGCAUGUGAAAUUAAAAGAACCAUUCAAGUUUUAAUGUGCAGAGGAUGAUGGAUUGUCCGAUGGGAAGAAUUGUUCAAGUUAAGAUUCAAACAUAGAGCAUAUUUUUGGUGGCACUGGAAUGAAGGAAAAGAAGAGAGACAAUGGUUUUUUCAAGGGUGAGAGUAGAAUAGUAGAGGAUUUUUUUUUCCCCAUCAGUGCAUAGCAUAGAGUCUGGCACAUAGGUAGCUUAUUAUUAUUAUUACUGUUUGUUUUGAGACGGAGUCUCG